UACAGAGGGUGCAAGCGUUAAUCGGAAUUACUGGGCGUAAAGCGUGCGUAGACGGUUACAUAAGUCGGGUGUGAAAGCCCCGGGCUCAACCUGGGAAUUGCAUUCGAGACUGCGUAGCUAGGGUGCGGAAGAGGGAAGCGGAAUUUCCGGUGUAGCGGUGAAAUGCGUAGAUAUCGGAAGGAACACCAGUGGCGAAAGCGGCUUCCUGGUCCAGCACCGACGUUCAGGCACGAAAGCGUGGGGAGCGAACAAGGAUUGAUGAAACCCAGUUAG
rnacentral:rRNA from 1 species